rnacentral:rRNA from 1 species
GAAGGAUGCAAGCGUUAUCCGGAUUCAUUGGGUUUAAAGGGAGCGUAGGUGGCCUUGUAAGUCAGUGGUGAAAUCCUGUCGCUUAACGACAGAAUUGCCAUUGAUACUGCAGGGCUUGAGUACAGUUGCCGUUGGCGGAAUAUGACAUGUAGUGGUGAAAUACAUAGAUAUGUCAUAGAACACCGAUUGCGAAGGCAGCUGACGAAACUGUAACUGACACUGAGGCUCGAAAGUGUGGGGAUCAAACAGGAUUAGAUACCCUGGUAGUCCACACUGUAAACGAUGAUUACUCGCUGCUGGAGGGCAACUUUCAGUGGCUUAGCAAAAGCGAUAAGUAAUCCACCUGGGGAGUACGCCGGCAACGGUGAA